rnacentral:rRNA from 1 species
AACGAACGCUGGCGGCAGGCCUAAAACAUGCAAGUCGAACGAUCUAGCAAUAGAUAGUGGCGCACGGGUGAGUAACACGUGGGAAUAUCCCUUUCACUACGGAACAACGUCGGGAUACUGACGCUAAUACCGUAUAAUGUCUCCGGACCAAAGAUUUAUCGGUGAAAGAUUAGCCCGCGUCUGAUUAGCUAGCUGGUGAGGUAACGGCUCACCAAGGCAACGAUCGGUAGCUGGUCUGAGAGGAUGAUCAGCCACACUGGAACUGAGACACGGUGCAGACUCCUACGGGAGGCAGCAGUUAGGAAUGUUGGACAAUGGGGGCAACCCUGAUCCAGCCAUGCCGCGUGUGUGACGAAGGCCUUAGGGUUGUAAAGCACUUUCGUCUACGAAGAUAAUGACAGUAGUAGAAGAAGAAGCUCCGGCUAAAUUCGUGCCAGCCGCCGCGGUAA